GUUUGAUUCUGGCUCAGGAUGAACGCUGGCGGCAUGCCUAAUACAUGCAAGUCGAACGGAGUGAAGCCUUCGGGUUUCAUUCAGUGGCGUACGGGUGAGUAAUACGCAGGGAACCUGGCCAUGGCAGGGGGAUACACUCUGGAAACGGAGCAUAAGACCCCAUAGGCAGUAAGGCGGCAUCGCCUUACUGUUAAAGAAAGCUGAAAGGCUUUGGCGAUGGAUGGACCUGCGGUGCAUUAGCUUGUUGGUGAGGCAACGGCUUACCAAGGCGAUGAUGCAUAGCCGGCCUGAGAGGGCGGACGGCCACACUGGGACUGAGACACGGCCCAGACUCCUGCGGGAGGCAGCAGUAGGGAAUCUUCGUCAAUGGGCGCAAGCCUGAACGAGCAAUGCCGCGUGAGUGAGGAAGGUCUUCGGACUGUAAGCUCUGUUGCCGGGGAAAAAGGGGAAAUGCAGGAAAUGGCAUUUCAUGGAUGGUACCCGGCCAGAAAGCCACGGCUAACUACGUGCCAGCAGCCGCGGUAAUACGUAGGUGGCGAGCGUUAUCCGGAAUGAUUGGGCGUAAAGGGUGCGCAGGCGGUCUGUUAAGUCUGAAGGCAAAGGGAUGAGCUCAACUCAUUUAUGAUUCAGAAACUGGCAGACUUGAGGACAGGAGAGGGCGGUGGAACUCCAUGUGUAGCGGUAAAAUGCGCAGAGAUAUGGAAGAACACCAGUGGCGAAGGCGGCCGCCUGGCCUGUGACUGACGCUGAGGCACGAAAGCGUGGGGAGCAAAUAGGAUUAGAUACCCUAGUAGUCCACGCCGUAAACGAUGAGGAGCAGGUGUUGGGAGUGAAAUCUCAGUGCCGAAGCCAACGCAGUGACUCCUCCGCCUGGGGAGUAUGCACGCAAGUGUGAAACUCAAAGGAAUUGACGGGGGCCCGCACAAGCGGUGGAGUAUGUGGUUUAAUUCGAAGCAACGCGAAGAACCUUACCAGGUUUUGACAUCGGAUGCGAAGGCGCAGAGAUGCGCUGGAGGCUAUCAUCCAGACAGGUGGUGCAUGGUUGUCGUCAGCUCGUGUCGUGAGAUGUUCAGUUAAGUCUGGCAACGAGCGCAACCCCCGUGGUAUGUUACUAACGCAUUUGGGCGAGGACUCAUAUCAGACUGCCGGUGACAAACCGGAGGAAGGCGGGGAUGACGUCAAAUCAUCAUGCCCCUUAUGACCUGGGCUACACACGUACUACAAUGGCGUCUACAGAGGGAAGCGACCCUGAGAAGGGAAGCGAAACCGGAAAAGGGCGUCCCAGUUCGGAUUGAAGUCUGCAACCCGACUUCAUGAAGAUGGAAUCGCUAGUAAUCGCGGAUCAGCAUGCCGCGGUGAAUACGUUCCCGGGCCUUGUACACACCGCCCGUCAAACCAUGGAAGCCGGCAACGCCCGAAGCCGGUGGCAUAACCUUUUAGGAGUGAGCCGUCGAAGGCGGGGCCGAUGACUGGGGUUAAGUCGUAACAAGGUACCC
rnacentral:rRNA from 1 species